AGAGUUUGAUCAUGGCUCAGAACGAACGCUGGCGGCGCGUUUUAAGCAUGCAAGUCGAACGGUAGUAGUAGCAAUACUAUUAGAGUGGCGAACGGGUGAGUAACACGUAGGUAAUCUAACUUUGGAUGGGGGAUAGCUCAUGGAAACAUGGGGUAAUACCGCGUAAGGUCCGCUGACGAAGGGUUGGCGGAUGAAAGACGCAAUUGUGUCGUCUGGAGAUGAGCUUGCGGUCCAUUAGCUAGUUGGUAGGGUAAAGGCCUACCAAGGCGACGAUGGAUAGCCGGCCUGAGAGGGUGUACGGUCACAUUGGGACUGAGACACGGCCCAGACUCCUACGGGAGGCAGCAGCUAAGAAUAUUCCGCAAUGGGAGCAAUCCUGACGGAGCGACGCCGCGUGGAAGAUGAAGGCAGAAAUGUUGUAAAUUCCUUUUAUACGGGAAGAAUAAAGAUAGGAGUGGAAAGCCUAUCCGAUGACGGUACCGUAUGAAUAAGCCUCGGCUAACUACGUGCCAGCAGCCGCGGUAAUACGUAGGAGGCAAGCGUUGUUCGGAUUUACUGGGCGUAAAGGGCAUGUAGGCGGUUAUGCAAGUGUGGAUUUAAAGGCAGAAGCUCAACUUCUAGCAUGGUCUGCAAACUGCAUAGCUUGAGUGUAGGAGGGGGAACUGGAAUUCCGCGUGUAGGGGUGAAAUCUGUAGAGAUGCGGAAGAAUACCUGUGGCGAAGGCGAGUUCCUGGUCUAUAACUGACGCUGAAAUGCGAAAGUGUGGGUAGCAAACAGGAUUAGAUACCCUAGUAGUCC
rnacentral:rRNA from 1 species